AUGCACAGUCUAACAGCCUUUAUACCUUGCAACAAGAUUGAAGGACUACUGAUUUCUCAACCAGCCAAUGUUUUGUCUUGCAGCUUUCUGUCUUUCUUUAGAAUUGUGUGUGCAUUUGCAUAUGAACAGGAACAGAAACUGAAAGGAAUGAUCCUGCGAGGUGGUGAGAGCCAUGCCUGUCUGUUCAAUGCCAGUGAGCAAGAGGGUUCUCAGGUGUCUAGGUUAAUACCAUGAUCCCAUAUAGCACAUUCUCCAUAUGCUUGUCUACCCUAAAGAGUUGUUAGAGAACCAUCAACUGCAUAAAUAAAAGCCUUGACAAUUAUCCAUGAUUCCCAUCUUUAACUGUCGAAAGCUUUGGAUGCUCAUUCAUUUCUGCAGCUGGCAGAAUAGAACAGAAUAUUUUUAUUCAACUUUUUGAGCAAACCAAGAAGGCAGCGAACUGAAGGAUUUUGUUUGCUGUUUUGAUUUGGCUGAAAUGUCUUGUUCACGUUUUGCAGUUGCUGGUAACUUUGGUAAAAGGAAGCAAGAUUCAGUGUUUUGGCUCUGUGCAGUCCGUAGGUGUGGAUCGUGCUGUUCUUAGCCAAUAUGUGCAACCAUGUAAACACACUCACCUCACACAAGGAUACCUCAGCUAUCCACUUGAAGCCAGUCUUCCUCUCCCCUACAUGUAACAUUUGUAAAAGAGAAAUGUUAUCAAAUUCAGCCUAGAUUCUAUAAUAACUACCUGGAAUUAUCUUAAGAUAUUGCAAAAUGCUGAAAAAUUUAAUCACAGUAGCAACAAGCCUCAUUUGACGGUAGUUUAAGUAACCAGAUUUUUAAUAUUAAUCUCUGAGCGUUUGUUUUUAAGGAAGAAUUGAAGAGGAAUGCAAUAUUUUAAAGUCUAAUGUAUUAACUUGGCAAUUUUUCCAGCCUUUCAGGAUUGAGCGUGUAGGCUGAUUUUACUCUCCAUUGCUGGUAACAUAUCCUCUCUUAACAGGAGCAGUGACAACAUCUCAAGAACUUUAUACUUUCGUGGGAUUAAUAGACAUUGCUUUUCUAACUCUCUACAAUGGCUGGCAUUUAUGUGGGCUGUCUACAGGAGUUAUGUAUUUUCCUUUUGGGAGACUUCUUCAAUAGAAACAACCAUGUGGUUGACACAACAAAUUUAGCACAGAGCAAAUUGUGACCUGCAGAGCCCAGCAGGGAAGCUGAACCUGGGCUGCAGGGGGUACCCAGAGCUUCCAGGGACUGGCUGGUUUUCUCUACUGCUGCGAUAGAGAAAUUGUCUUUCAGAGAACAGGAAUUUAGUUGCAGUGCUAUGCAACAAGACCUAUGUAUCCUGCUCCUUCCUUACCACAGGAGAGUUCCAGCUGACUGGUUAAUUUAGGUGCCAAAAUCCUGGGUGAAAUUCUCUGGUUUCGUUUCAAGUAUGUCAGGAUUCCCACUAAUGCAAUGCAAAAUUUAAACACACAAAAUUGUACGUACAAAUAAUGAAUGUGGAUUUGAAGUUUCUGCUCUAAGUGUUGAGCAAUGCCUUUUUUUGUAGUGCAGAUGUUAGCCUGUGUUUUGCUCCUGUUUCUCCCCAGUCCACAUAAACAGCUUGGAUCCUUUCUGUUCUUGUGCAAGUGAAGCUUUAAAAUAGAGCCUAGUAUUGUUUAGCUUUUUUUUUUUCCUGCUUAGGGACUGAAGGAAUAAAUUCACUCUAUAAAUCUUGCAUUUGCGCUUACUGUAUUUUAAAUUGGAGAAUGCAUAUUUUUAGUAAAAUAUGACUGUGACAUAACUUGCUUUUUGAUCCCUUAUUUUCUGUAAGAAUUACUGCUGUUAGUCAGCUUAGGCCAAGAGUACUGAGUCCACUGUUUCUUCUGAAAACAAUACUGCAAGUGGGCUACUCGUACAGGAUGGUCCCNUUUUUUUUUUUUUUUUUGCCAUCUUCACAACCACAGGAGACACAGUCCACUAGCUCUGCUCUUGAAAUCUUGCUGCACUUCUCUGCACCUAGACCAUAGCUUUCUCUCAUGUAAACAUAGACGUGAGACAGCUGUGUAGCACACACAAGCUAGCUUUCCCUAGAAAGGCUGGAGUAAAUGAAAUUCAGGAAUCAACAAUUGAAGAAGAAUUGAAAUACGGAAAGAACGUUGGGCAGGAAAGAACUGGCCACUGCACCCUGGAUGAGCUCAAACAGCUGCCCGAAAAGACCAGGUAAACUUUUGACUCACAUUUUUCUAACCCAACCUGGGAUAUCACAGCAGUAUUAAGAGACUGCUUUGUGUAUGAGAACAAAACACAAAUGAAGGGUACCUGUGUUAGUUACAGAAAACACUGCUUGACAGAUCCCAUCUGUACUGAGGAGGAGAAAUAUAAAUGCUUCUAAGAAGUUAACUCUAUCUUGGUUUUGGUGCCAGCAGUUUAUGAGUAAGGUAGUGGUAGCUGUCACCCACACCAUCUCCUUUUAUAAGGGAAACCAGGAGCUAAGAACCUCCUCCAGGCCAUAGCCCUUGUGUUAAUCCCGUGCUGCAAUUGAACUGCACCUGGCUCAGCUUCAGGAUUUGUCAUCCUCUUCCAUCGUUGUUUUUUUUUUUUUAGAUAGUUCUUUUGGGCCUCUUUAAGACAUUUGUUCGCAUUCUUUGCUCAGCAGAGCCUCAGAAGAAACCUGUUAAAAUCCAGCUAUCCUGAGCUUGAUCAGACUCCUGCACAGGUGUGAGAUGAGAUCCCUUGCUUUGAGGUAACUAUUCUAAUGGCAUGUAACUGGUGAUGGGGGCAUUCCUUGCAUUAUCCCCUCAUGCUUGCAGCUACUGUUAGCUCCCAGAUUUAUCACAUUUCAAUGCAAAUGGCUAUAAUUCUGCUCUAAAGAUUAAAGAAAUUAGUCCUGUAUUUUUGUGUAGUAUAGUGCUCUGUCAAAGUUGACCACAAAAAUGAUAUACCUUGCCUUGCCUCCUUUACAUAUUCUUAUGCUGCUAAAAGGCGUAGUUGAGUUGCCACUCCAUAUGUACUCCUUUUGUUUCUAAGUUCUUGCAACAGAAACAUCUGUUCAGAGUCACUGGAAAACCAGUGACCAUUACCAUAGGCCAAUUUAUCUGUAGAAUUUUAUACUGGUGAUAAAUGCUGAAGAGGAGGACCUGAAUGAUUUUUUAGGUGAUAGGAUAAAAGUGCAGGUGAGAGGGUUGCUGUUUUUCCUUCAGUGAGUACACUGGACAUAUGAACGGAGUGCCUCUGUUAGUUUAGAAUUUUGCAAAGUAAAGUGACUCUAAUAUACAAGCUCUAAACGCAAGUCUACGUAUCUUAACAAUAGCAUCAGUAGUAAUAUUUUCCUUCUGUUCAGAGUAGGCACUUAACAGGUUACUUUUUGCUCAGAUUCUUUUCUUCUUCCCCAGAUGUACAGCUAUAAGAAUGGCAGAUUUUACUACUCCCUCUGAUAGGUAAAGAUAAAAGCAUCUUUUCAUGAGCUAUGCAAGAGCAUUUUUCAAUCCAGAAUCAGCCUCUGCCNGCCGC
ensembl:lncRNA